CAUUAGAGAGAUUCUUCACAAAGCACCAAAAACUUGUCCUUUAGUCUUUUACUUUCUUCCACUUUACUCCCCCUCUUUAUCACCUCCAACCUCCUACAACCAGCAUCAACUCAGACGACAUAUAUAGUCAUUGGACUACUAUAUCACCACCAAAAUUUUCAGCAUACUUGUCUAAGAAUCACACAUAUCGAAGACUGGCCAUUGCAAGUGUGCGAUUAAGAUUCACUUGGAGAAGUUCUGCGCCUUUCUUUUUCUCCCUAGCCAUCUCCAUCGAUGGCUUGCUCCGUAUCGUACAUUUUUUCAUUAGUCCAGUAAGCACAUUCCAAGACCGGUUCAAAUGAUUUGGGUGCUUGUGCAAGAAACUACUUCCUCAAGGUGUACACGAGAUGAAUGAUGAUUUCAAAGUAGUUGAUUGGAAAAACCACCAUACUUUAGAGGCAACCUUCAUUCCUUCAUUGCAACAUUGGUAGAGUGGCACGGGAAUGGUGCUUGGAACAAGCUACAAAAGGGUAGGUCCAACUAGUAUCACCUGUCCCUACAUAUGAAUGACAAGUGUUGAGUUAAUUUGAAGUGGGAGCAGUACCGAUCAAAGUACUACAGGUUAGAAACUGAGCGAAAGUUUUUGUAUGCCUAAAUGGGAUAUCCUGAUCAACCGCAGAGAUGAGAGUUGGAUUUAAUGCCAAUCGUUUAAUACCGACUUUUUGUGCUUCUAGGCUACAAAGGAAAAAUGGAGUGCUCUGAAGCGGGUAAACUUCUUAAUCUUCUACAUUUACCUACAAUCAAUUGACUACUAUACUGAAAUUUUAGUAGGUACAUAUGCCCUUUCUUAUAAAAGUUUAGCCUUUUGUCUGUUGCUUCUUCAAAUUUUUGGAAUACUUGUGGGGUUGUCUGUUUAUAAAGCUUAUUCAUAGUCAAGUCAUAGCUUGCUGAAUUGCUGUCAAUCUUCUUAUAAGGAAAACUAGAAUUAUGACAACUUGAAUUGCUACUUGGCUUUAUGAUUAAUUGCUUUAUUUGCCUUAGUUACAACUGCCAUGCUUAGUUAAUGUGUAAUAGCAAUUAAAGCUGUCUAAUCAUGUCUACUAAAAGCCUUAAUAGCAAGAGUAACUUGUAGAUUCUUUUGCUUAGGGGAUAAGAAUAUAAUACUUGUGUUGUUGUUGAACUAAAUAAGACACACAUACAGAUCUGCAUAUGUUGUCCUCUUUAUUUAUUCAAUAUACAUUAGGUUGCUCCUACUUUUGUGAGUGCAAGUUUAUAAUCCGAAGUACAUUAGGUUGCUUCUACUUGAAUUGUCCCUUGUUAUGGGUUCGACACACAGCUUGUAGGAAAACAAGACCGCAGUUGCAGUUGCUUCUUUGAAUUGAUUGAAAUUCUUGAGAGCCGAUCAGCCAAAGAAAGCAUGGCCAAUUUUCCACCCAGAGUGAGGUCCACCACUCUUCCUAGUCUACCGAAAAGACCAUCGAUGCUGGAUUGAGGCUCAAGGGCAAGGCAAAGGUAGAUGGGCCUACCUCAGACUUUUGGGAUGAAAAUGUGUACAUUCCUGUUUAGAACGAUGAAGUCAAGUUUGUUUCAAGCAAACUUGGUAAAUGACCAGCAUCAAUUCUGAGAACUUUAUCACAUGAUGGGUCUAGGGGCACUAAGUCUUAGAAGACCAAGAAAGCUCUACAAGAUGCAGGCACCAAUAUUAGAAAUCUCUCACAGAUCAAGAUUGAAAAAAACCUGAGAUGUAAUCAUUGGUAUGUAGUUGCAUUAAAGGUUUGGGACAAAAGCUACUCAAAACAUGAGCCUGUAGAACUUCGGAACAUGUAACGGCUAGCAUCUAUGAAGGAGUUCAAAAAGAAUGAGAGGUGGUGCCACAUGUUCCUCUAAUCAACUAAAAGCUUCCAAUUCUACUACACUCAUACCAUUCUAAACUCCAAACCCCCACAAGCCUAGGUAGAAUCGAGAAGUCAAAGUCAUGUAUAACAUGACCCAUUCUCGAUUGGGAUUGUCUGGAAGCGUGUCGUUGGUGAGCAAUUUUAGAUUAUUAGGCAUACUACUAAGCAUUCCUAGGCCUUCGGCUACUCUUUCUAAUUACGAUUUUUGAUGUGUACUUGUACUAUAAGUGUUGGCACUUCGAUUCACUUCUGUUUACAAACUGCAAGCUAUUAGGAAUUGAAUAUGUUGCCAUUUUAAAAA